rnacentral:lncRNA from 1 species
GACCACUUAACGGAAUCGCGGAGUAGAAGGGAUUCCGGACCUCUCAACGAAAUCUGAGUGGAUACGAUUCCGGACCACUUAACGGAAUCGCGGAGUACAAUAUAAAUCAGACCACUCAAUUAAAUUCAAGCUAGAUACGAUUCCGGACUACUCAACGGAAUCGCGGAGCACAAGGGAUUCAGGACCACUCCACGGAAUCCAUACAGAGCAGGGAACUGGACCACUCAACGGAACCCCAGUGGAACCCAGAUCCGAAUCCCUCAACGAAAUUGAGCAGAAGUCCAAGAAUAUGACAACGACUCGAGGAAACAAUACAUGAACCAAGUACUCAAUUUAGAAGGCUGAACGAAAUGAAACAAAGCGCAAGUACUAAGUUUAGAACAGAUCAACGAAGCAAGAUAUGAAACAAUAUCGAAGCAACGAAUCCCUAUGACAGUGGGUUAACGGUCCACUAGUAGCCUUCACAUUUCAUCACAUCAUACCAAUCAUACAAAUCAAACCAUAUUCCACAAACAUUUUCAACGCACAAAUCAAAACAUACUUAAUAAACAAGUAUAAUAUAAUACGUUGUCACUAGUACGCGAAUCGAGUCACACAUCAAUCGAGGAGACAUGUUAGCACGAUGAGCCCAUCAAGCUCCAUGAAAUCUUAUCCGCACUCUAGAAUAACUGACACACUAGAAACUUAGUUUAGUUGACUAAAAAACCAAUUGUUGAUCAAGGUCGAGAGUAGGAUCCACAACCCCAGAAAUCUAAAACAGAAGAUCUGCCUAUCAUAUUUUUGAUCCAUAACUUCUAAAGUCCACAUUAUGCUUCUAGAACAAUAUAUUAAAAUUUCAUUGCGAUCCGAUGAUCGGAUCUUCACCAAUCAUAAAUUUAAGUGACCGUCAACAUUUGAUUUUACAAACUUAGAAAUCCACUUCGGGAAGAUCCGCACAUCAAAUUCCCAAUCCGUCAGUUCCUAAUGUUCUCAAAUAUUUCGUACUAUUACGUAUUAAAGUUUGGUGCCAAUCCAACGGUCGGAUCAUCAAUUCAUAUAAUAAUCAAGUGUCGGCCAACUAGGCAGUCAAUUACGAAACUAUGUUAAAAUAUCGAAAUUUCACUAAACGGAUGUCAAAUAUGGAAUCGGGGCAUCAAAUUAGCCUACAAUGGUCAGGUGGGGUUUCGGCCCAUGUGCCACCGCUAAAUGCCGCCGUACGUAGCGAUCGACCGCCCCGAUUCGUCGGAAAAUUUAACCAUUUUAAAAAAUUACCAAAUUUUAUAGAAAUGUAGAGCAAGUUAAGGGGAGAAACUUUCAUACCUAGGCUG